AUGUUAAUGUAUUUGGAUAGAUUUUUGUUGUUGAAAAUUCGUUGUCUUAUUACAAAAAAAAAAUCACCGAACAAAACGAAGAACAUCGCUCGAUUUCAUGAAUCAAAUGUUGUAUUCUCAUAGAAGCAUCAUUACUUCAUCUCCUUUUAUACCUCUGGUGAAGGAUGAUUAGCGAGUAAUUUCAGACAAUGGAGGAGGCAAUGGGAUUUUAUCAUUGUAGCUAUUCAAAAAAUUUUGUGUCAAAGGUGAAGCAUCCGAUUCUAUUAACAUAAGAAUAUGGAAAAGGAAUGAGUUAUAUAGUCAUUGGAGAUAUCCAGAAAUCGAUAUGUAAAAAAAGGUUAGUGCCUCUGUGAUUUUUACACUGUUGUUUAUAUUCAUAUAUUUGUCUUCGUAUGUUUAAUCAAAGUAGUAUAUCAUAGAUUAAAACUACAAAACUAUCUGAAAAGUUGAUUGAUAAUCAGUAUUCACCUUUACUGCUACUGUAAUUUUUUUAGUUUUACAUAAUAGAAUAUCACUUAAUAAAAUCGGAAACUUUUAUCUCUCAAAGUAAUGCUUUUAAAAUUUAAGGUCUGAGAUUGUAGAGAGAGGAAAUGAGUAGAAUAACAAUUGUUUCGAGAAAUUGAUAAGAAUAUUGAAUGUAUAGGCUUUCAAGAUGGUACACAUAAUGUUGGACUUACCAACCUACACACAUAUUAUAUAUAAGCCUAUUACUACAUGUGUUACUUUAUUUGAUAUAAAGUAAUAUUCA